rnacentral:other from 1 species
UAAUUCCUGCCCUCUGGUGGUUUAUGAUGGAAAAGUUGAUCCGACAAUUUAGACCAAUAGGGAGUCUGGGUAAGGGCUGUGGUGAGCAUGCCGAGUGCCCAAUUCUGAAAGAUAUCAUCUUUUUAAUUAUAAGGGUUGUCUUUUCAGGAUUGGGUACUCGGAAGCCUAAACACCCUUCAGGACACCCACCUGUCUUCAUGGGGUCUAAUUUUUCAUCAACACCUUGGGGCGGGGGUUUA